CGAGACCGGAAGCCUUUACUUAACGUCACAAAGAGAAGCAUCAAACAGCAGUCAUACCCUGUUAUCCUGAUAGCUGGCACGGAGCUGAAGGUAGCUGAUACAGAGCCUGAGAUAGUGCUUCAGUCAACAUGUAUCAUGCAGAUGGAGGCCGAUGGAUGCUACGGUCCAGCCACCGCAGGGGAUCUUCCAGGUCCCGACGGAGAGGGGAAUGAUGGGGCUUCCCUGGUGGCACAGUGGUUGAGAAUCUGCCUGCCAAUGCAGGGGACAUGGGUUCGAGCCCUGGUCUGGGAAGAUCCCACAUGCCGCGGAGCAACUGGGCCCGUGAGCCACAACUACUGAGCCUGCGCGUCUGGAG